CCUACGUGGUGCAGCAGUGAGGAAUAUUGGUCAAUGGGCGCGAGCCUGAACCAGCCAAGUAGCGUGAAGGAUGACUGCCCUCCGGGUUGUAAACUUCUUUUAUAAAGGAAUCAAGUGAGGCACGUGUGCCUUUUUGUAUGUACUUUAUGAAUAAGGAUCGGCUAACUCCGUGCCAGCAGCCGCGGUAAUACGGAGGAUCCGAGCGUUAUCCGGAUUUAUUGGGUUUAAAGGGAGCGUAGGUGGGUUGUUAAGUCAGUUGUGAAAGUUUGCGGCUCAACCGUAAAAUUGCAAUUGAUACUGGCAGUCUUGAGUACAGUUGAGGUAGGCGGAAUUCGUGGUGUAGCGGUGAAAUGCUUAGAUAUCACGAAGAACUCCGAUUGCGAAGGCAGCUUACUAAACUGCCACUGACAUUGAUGCUCGAAAGUGUGGGUAUCAAACAGGAUUAGAUACCCGAGUAGUC
rnacentral:rRNA from 1 species